rnacentral:rRNA from 1 species
CACGCGGUAAACGAUGAAUACUAGGUGUUGGGUGUCACAGACAUUCGGUGCCGCAGCAAACGCAAUAAGUAUUCCACCUGGGGAGUACGUUCGCAAGAAUGAAACUCAAAGGAAUUGACG